rnacentral:rRNA from 1 species
AGCGAACGUUAGCGGCGCGCUUAACACAUGCAAGUCGCACGAGAAAGGGCUUCGGCCCCGGUACAGUGGCGCACGGGUGAGUAACACGUGGGUGAUGUGCCGUUCUGUGGGGAAUAACCUUCCGAAAGGAGGGCUAAUACCGCAUCCGACCGCUCAAUGGGAAUUGAGUGGUGAAAGCAGGCCUCUGUAUACACGCUUGCGCAGAACGAACAGCCCGCGUCCCAUCAGCUAGUUGGCGAGGUAAAGGCUCACCAAGGCGAAGACGGGUAGCUGGUCUGAGAGGAUGGCCAGCCACACUGGAACUGAGACACGGUCCAGACUCCUACGGGAGGCAGCAGUGGGGAAUCUUGCGCAAUGGGCGAAAGCCUGACGCAGCGACGCCGCGUGGACGACGAAGGCCCUCGGGUUGUAAAGUCCUGUGGGGCGAGACGAAAGACGGCCAUUCGAAUAGGGUGGUUGGUUGACGGUAUCGCCUUAGCAAGCACCGGCUAACUCUGUGCCAGCAGCCGCGGUAAGACAGAGGGUGCAAACGUUGCUCGGAAUUACUGGGCGUAAAGCGCGUGUAGGCGGUUUCCUAAGUCAGGUGUGAAAGCCCGGGGCUCAACCUCGGAAGUGCACAUGAUACUGGGAAGCUUGAGUACUGAAGAGGAGAGCGGAAUUCUCGGUGUAGAGGUGAAAUUCGUAGAUAUCGGGAGGAACACCAGUGGCGAAGGCGGCUCUCUGGGCAGAUACUGACGCUGAGACGCGAAAGCAUGGGGAGCAAACAGGAUUAGAUACCCUGGUAGUCCAUGCUGUAAACGAUGAGUGCUGGGUGUCGUGGGUAUUGACCCCCGCGGUGCCGAAGUCAACACGUUAAGCACUCCGCCUGGGAAGUACGGCCGCAAGGCUAAAACUCAAAGGAAUUGACGGGGGCCCGCACAAGCGGUGGAGCAUGUGGUUUAAUUCGACGCAACGCGCAGAACCUUACCCGGGCUCGAAAGUGCUGGAAUCCUGCCGAAAGGUGGGAGUGCUCGCAAGAGAACCAGUAUCCAGGUGCUGCAUGGCUGUCGUCAGCUCGUGUCGUGAGAUGUUGGGUUAAGUCCCGCAACGAGCGCAACCCCUGCUACUAGUUGCUACAUUAAGUUGAGCACUCUAGUGGGACUGCCGGUGUUAAGCCGGAGGAAGGUGGGGAUGACGUCAAGUCCUCAUGGCCCUUAUGUCCGGGGCUACACACGUGCUACAAUGGUCGGUACAGAUCGUCGCGAACUCGUGAGAGGGAGCAAAUCGCAAAAAACCGGCCUCAGUACAGAUAGGAGUCUGCAACUCGACUCCUUGAAGUUGGAAUCGCUAGUAAUCGCUGAUCAGCAAGCAGCGGUGAAUACGUUCCCGGGCCUUGUACACACCGCCCGUCACACCAUGGGAGCGGAUUGCUCCAGAAGUCGCUGAGCCAACCGCAAGGAGGCAGGCGCCCAAGGAGUGGUUCGUGACUGGGGUG